UGCGUUUGCAUGUUCAUUGCUUAACUUGUGAACAGACUUAUAAACAGGUAUGAAAAAAAACCCCUCUUUUUGCAAUCUAAAACUCAUCGUUCAGUAUGAGUCUUGAUACAUAUAAGAAAGAAUAUU
rnacentral:snoRNA from 1 species